rnacentral:rRNA from 1 species
AACUUUGGACAAUGUGGGAGACCCUGACCCAGCCAUCCCGCGAUUAUUCUGUAGGCCUACGGGAUGAAAAUUACUUUUCGCAGAGAAGAAAAGGUAUCUCCUAAUACGAGAUACUGCUGACGGAAUCUGCAGAAUAAGCACCGGCUAACUCCGUGCCAUCAUCCGCGGUAAUACGUAGGGUGCAAGCGUUAAUCGGAAUUACUGGGCGUAAAGGUGGUGUAGGCGGUUCGGAAAGAAAGAUGUGAAAUCCCAGGGCUCAACCUUGGAACUGCAUUUUUAACUGCCGAGCUAGAGUAUGUCAGAGGGGGGUAGAAUUCCACGUGUAGCAGUGAAAUGCGUAGAUAUGUGGAGGAAUGCCGAUGGCGAAGGCAGCCCCCUGGGAUAAUACUGACGCUCAGACACGAAAGCGUGGGGAGCAAACAG